GAUGAACGCUGGCGGCGUGCCUAAUACAUGCAAGUCGAACGAAAAGACGAGGAGCUUGCUCCUCUGACGUUAGCGGCGGACGUGUGAGUAACACGUGUAUAACCUACCUAUCAGAGUGGGAUCACUUCGGGACAGCGGAGCUAAUACCGGAGAAUCUAUUGAACCGCAUGGUUCAAUAGUGAAAGUCGGCGUUGGUGGAUCUACUCGAUGCAUCCGCGCCGGAUGGGGAGGUAGGGAAGGUAAAAGCGUACCAAGGCAAGGCUGCGUGACAGAGAUGAGAGGGUGAGCGGCCGCACUGGAACUGAGACACGGUCCAGACGCCUACGGGAGGGAGCAGUAGGGAAUCGUCCGCAAGGGGCGGAAGCCUGACGGAGCAACGCCGCGGGAGUGAUGAAGGUCUUCGGAUCGUAAAACACUGUUAUUAGGGAAGAACAAAUGUGUAAGUAACUAUGCACGUCUUGACGGUACCUAAGCAGAAAGCCACGGCUAACUACGUG
rnacentral:rRNA from 1 species